rnacentral:pre_miRNA from 1 species
GUGCUCUGCGGUGUGAGGUAGUUGGUUGUAUGGUUUCGCAUCAUAAACAGCCUGGAGAUAACUGUACAACCUUCUAGCUUUCCCCGCGGUGUCGC